UACCAGCACCCCGAGUGGUCGGGACGAUUAUUGGGCCUAAAGCAUCCGUAGCCGGUCAUGCAAGUCUUCCGUUAAAUCCAGCCGCUCAACGGUUGGGCUGCGGAGGAUACUACGUGGCUAGGAGGCGGGAGAGGCAAGGCGGUACUCAGUGGGUAGGGGUAAAAUCCUUUGAUCCAUUGAAGACCACCAGUGGCGAAGGCGGCUUGCCAGAACGCGCUCGACGGUGAGGGAUGAAAGCUGGGGGAGCAACCGG
rnacentral:rRNA from 1 species